rnacentral:rRNA from 1 species
UACGGAGGGAGCUAGCGUUAUUCGGAAUCACUGGGCGUAAAGCGCACGUAGGCGGCUUCUUAAGUCAGGGGUGAAAUCCUGGAGCUCAACUCCAGAACUGCCUUUGAUACUGGGAGGCUCGAGUCCGGGAGAGGUGAGUGGAACUGCGAGUGUAGAGGUGAAAUUCGUAGAUAUUCGCAAGAACACCAGUGGCGAAGGCGGCUCACUGGCCCGGUACUGACGCUGAGGUGCGAAAGCGUGGGGAGCAAACAGGG